rnacentral:lncRNA from 1 species
UUUUUAAGAAAGCCUGUUACCUCCUCUCACUCUCUGUGUUUGUCCCUCUCUUACCAUGUGGCUUGCCAGCAUCCCUUCCCCUUCUGCUAUGACUGGAAGCUUCCUGAGGCCCUCACCAGCCACAGAUGCUAGUGCCAUGCUUCUUGUGCAGCCUGCAGAACGGAUCCAGAUCUGUUUGAAGAGGAAAGCAAAUGGCAGAGCAUCUCACCUCUAGACCAACUGACCUUUGCGUCAGCAUCCAUCAGUGUUCAUUACAGGACAUGGUGCCCACAACAGGUCAGGAAACCAGGUAGACUCUGAUUGAACAAUGCAAGAGGAAGAGAGGAUUCUCAUGUGUGUGGAAUAUGAAUGAGGUCAAGGGUGAUAUGACUAACAGAGGCCUCUGCAGCCACUCAGUCUUUGGGUCACCAUCAUCACUGAGUGACCUUGAGAGUCACUCUACCACCACGAGCCUCGAUUGCUUCAUCUGUAAAAUGGCCAUAAAAGCUUGUAUUUAUAGAACUCUGAUUUUUGCUGGGCGACAUGCCAAAAACGUCACGUGCUUCAACUUCUAUCUUCACAAUAAGUCCAGGAAGCAGGUUCUAAAAUUACAUUUAUUUCUUUCUCUAUCUCUCUCUUUUUAACAAUUGGCCCUGUCUCCCCAAGUUGAUGAACUGCUAGAAGGCAGUUCAUCCCUUAAUCCCAAACACCAGGUGGAGAGCAGAUAACAACAGAAGGUUUCAUCUUCUUUGGGGUGAACCCGAG